rnacentral:rRNA from 1 species
GACGAACGCUGGCGGCGUGCUUAACACAUGCAAGUCGAGCGAUGAAAUUUCCUUCGGGAAAUGGAUUAGCGGCGGACGGGUGAGUAACACGUGGGUAACCUGCCUCAUAGAGGGGAAUAGCCUUUCGAAAGGAAGAUUAAUACCGCAUAAGAAGUAGAAGUCGCAUGGCUUUAGCUUUAAAGGAGCAAUCCGCUAUAAGAUGGACCCGCGGCGCAUUAGCUAGUUGGUGAGGUAACGGCUCACCAAGGCAACGAUGCGUAGCCGACCUGAGAGGGUGAUCGGCCACAUUGGAACUGAGACACGGUCCAGACUCCUACGGGAGGCAGCAGUGGGGAAUAUUGCACAAUGGGCGAAAGCCUGAUGCAGCAACGCCGCGUGGGUGAUGAAGUUUUCGGAGUCGUAAAGCCCUGUCUUUUGGGACG